rnacentral:rRNA from 1 species
GACGAACGCUGGCGGCGUGCUUAACACAUGCAAGUCGAACGGAAAGGCCCUGCUUGCAGGGUACUCGAGUGGCGAACGGGUGAGUAACACGUGGGUGAUCUGCCCUGCACUUCGGGAUAAGCCUGGGAAACUGGGGCUAAUACCGGAUAGGAGACAUUUUUAGUGUGAUGGUUGGAAAGUUUUUUCGGUGUAGGAUGAGCUCGCGGCCUAUCAGCUUGUUGGUGGGGUAAUGGCCUACCAAGGCGGCGACGGGUAGCCGGCCUGAGAGGGUGGACGGCCACAAUGGGACUGGGAAACGGCCCAGAAUCCCAAGGGAGGCAGGCGGGGGGAAGAUUGGACAAAGGGCGCAAGCCUGAUGCAGCGAAGCCGCGUGGGGGAUGACGGCCUUCGGGUUGUAAACUCCUUUCGCUAGGGACGAAGCUUUUUGUGACGGUACCUAGAUAAGAAGCACCGGCUAACUACGUG